AAUAUACUCCAUUCGUAUCAAAAUUUUUGUCUUAGAUUUGUCUAAAUAUGAAUGUAUUUAGUCAUAUUUUAGUGCUAGAUACAUAUUUUGAUAAAUCUUAUGCAAGAAUUUUGGGACGAAGGUAGAAAUAC
rnacentral:pre_miRNA from 1 species